rnacentral:rRNA from 1 species
UUCCUACGGGGCGCAGCAGUGGGGGAUAUUGGACAAUGGGGGAAACCCUGAUCCAGCGAUGCCGCGUGAGGGAAGAAGGUUUUCGGAUUGUAAACCUCUGUGGAGGGGGACGAUAAUGACGGUACCCCUUUAGGAAGCCACGGCUAACUACGUGCCAGCAGCCGCGGUAAUACGUAGGUGGCGAGCGUUGUCCGGAAUUACUGGGUGUAAAGGGUGUGUAGGCGGGGAAGCAAGGCCGAAGUGAAA